GUGGGUAUAGGUCAGUGAUAGAGCAGGUACUUAGCAUGCACAAGGUCCUGGGUUCAAUCCCCAGUACCUCCA
rnacentral:tRNA from 1 species